CGUAGGUGGCAAGCGUUGUCCGGAUUUAUUGGGUUUAAAGGGUGCGUAGGCGGUUCCAUAAGUCAGUGGUGAAAUCCGGCAGCUUAACUGUCGAUGUGCCAUUGGAUACUGCGGAACUUGAGUACAGACGAGGUAGGCGGAAUUGACGGUGUAGCGGUGAAAUGCUUAGAUAUCGUCAAGAACACCGAUAGCGAAGGCAGCUUAACUAGACUGUAACUGACGCUGAUGCACGAAAGUGUGGGGAUCAAACAGGAUUAGAUACCCUGGUAGUCCACACUGUAAACGAUGAUUACUCGAUGUUGGCGAUACACAGCCAAGCGUCUUAGCAAAAGCGAUAAGUAAUCCACCUGGGGAGUACGCGGCAAACGGUG
rnacentral:rRNA from 1 species